rnacentral:rRNA from 1 species
AUUGAACGCUGGCGGCAGGCCUAACACAUGCAAGUCGAAAGAGGGGCGGACGGGUGAGUAAUGUCUGGGCAACUGCCCGCUGGAGGGGGAUAAAUACUGGAACAGGUAGCUAAUACAGAAAACCAGAGGGUGGGCCCAGAUGGGAUUAGCUAAUAGUAGGGGUAACGGCUCACCUAGGCGACGAUCCCUAGCUGGUCUGAGAGGAUGACCAGCCACACUGGAACGUAGACACGGUCCAGACUCCUACGGGAGGCAGCACUGGGGAAUAUUGCACACUGGGCGCAAGCCUGAUGCAGCCAUGCCGCGUGUAUGAAGAAGGCCUUCGGGUUGUAAAGUACUUUCAGCGAGGAGGCGUUACUCGCAGAAGAAGCACCGGCUAACUCUGUGCCAGCAGCCGCGGUAAUUC